GAAGGGGGCGAGCGUUAUUCGGAAUCACUGGGCGUAAAGCGUGCGUAGGCUGUUCUGCAAGUCAGGAGUGAAAGCCCAAGGCUCAACCUUGGAAGCGCUCUUGAAACUGCAGGACUUGGAUUUGGGAGAGGAUAGCGGAAUUGUCAGUGUAGCAGUGAAAUGCGUAGAUAUUGACAGGAACACCAGUGGCGCAAGCGGCUAUCUGGACCAACAUCGACGCUGAGGCACGAAAGCGUGGGGAUCAAACAGGAUUAGAUACCCUGGUAGUCCACGCCGUAAACGAUGUGUGUUUGUCGCUGGGGGGUUCCCCUUCGGUGACGAAGCUAACGCGUUAAGCACACCGCCUGGGAAGUACGGCCGCAAGGUUA
rnacentral:rRNA from 1 species